rnacentral:rRNA from 1 species
CAGUUUGAUCCUGGAUCUUGAUGAACGCUGGCGAUAUGCUUAAGACAUGCGCUUCAAGGGGCAGCUUGGUCUUAGCUUGCUAGUACUGAUGGCGACCGGCCCACGGGUGCGUAACGCAUAUGCAACUUGCCUCAUCCAGGGGGAUAACCCCUCCAAAGACGGACUACUACCGCUUACACUCUAUGUUGGGCAUCCAAUGUAGAGGAAAUGAAAUUCGCUGUGAGAUAGGAAUGCGUCCCAUUAGCUAGUUGGUGAGGUAACGGCUCACCAAGGCGACAAUGGGUAGGGGAACUGAGAGGUUGAACCCCCACAUUGGUACUGACACUUAAACCCCACUCCUACCGCACGCAGCACCGAGGAAUAUUGGACAAUGGCCGAAAGCUUGAACCUACCAAGUCUGGUGAAGGAUGACUGUCUUAU